AGUCCUAUGCGAGGCAAACACCUGCAAAACAGGGACCUAGGAACGCCGCCAAACCAUCAUCACCCUUCUGCAUGGAUGACUUUUGUGAAUGACAGUUGUAUGCCUGCCUGAAUUACCGAUCACUCAAUCCAAACUUACCCGACAUGUUGAGAGCCGACAGCCAAUCAACCAAGGCACGGGCAACCCACAUCACAUUCAUCAACA
rnacentral:lncRNA from 1 species